rnacentral:rRNA from 1 species
AACGAACGCUGGCGGCAUGCCUAACACAUGCAAGUCGAACGAGACCUCCGGGUCUAGUGUCGCACGGGUGCGUAACGCGUGGGAACCUGCCCUUAGGUUCGGAAUAACUCCCCGAAAGGGGUGCUAAUACCGGAUAAUGUCUUCGGACCAAAGAUUUAUUGCCUCUGGAUGGGCCCGCGUUGGAUUAGCUAGUUGGUAGGGUAAAAGCCUACCAAGGCGACGAUCCAUAGCUGGUCUGAGAGGAUGAUCAGCCACACUGGGACUGAGACACGGCCCAGACUCCUACGGGAGGCAGCAGUGGGGAAUAUUGGACAAUGGGCGAAAGCCUGAUCCAGCAAUGCCGCGUGAGUGAUGAAGGCCUUAGGGUUGUAAAGCUCUUUUACCCAGGAUGAUAAUGACAGUACCGGGAGAAUAAGCUACGGCUAACUCCGUG